GUAAAGACAAUACUAUGCAGUUCCCCUCAGCUCUACAGAACAUUUUAGCAUCUUUCAGCUCAUUGCUUUGGUUUUACAGCCCACGACUUUACUGUUUGUGGGCCAUUUAAGG